UUUAUUUAAAAAAUACAUCACAAAACACAAAUACAUAAAAAGUAAGUAAAAAAAUACAAAGAAAAACUAUGAGAAAUAUAAAAACUGCAAAUACUUUAUUAAAGACAAAAUUCUCCCGUAUAGUACAAACCCAGCCCUCCCCUUGUAGUCUACUUGCAGGAUAGCGUGUGCCUGGCACGGGGGGUCUGUGUGCCAAUACGUAGAACACUGGA